CAGCCGCCGCGGUAAUACAGAGGGUGCGAGCGUUAAUCGGAUUUACUGGGCGUAAAGCGUGCGUAGGCGGCUUCUUAAGUCGGAUGUGAAAUCCCUGAGCUUAACUUAGGAAUUGCAUUCGAUACUGGGAAGCUAGAGUAUGGGAGAGGAUGGUAGAAUUCCAGGUGUAGCGGUGAAAUGCGUAGAGAUCUGGAGGAAUACCGAUGGCGAAGGCAGCCAUCUGGCCUAAUACUGACGCUGAGGUACGAAAGCAUGGGGAGCAAACAGGAUUAGAUACCCGGGUAGUCCCUGUCUCUUAUAC
rnacentral:rRNA from 1 species